GGAGGGGGCUAGCAUUGUUCGGAAUUACUGGGCGUAAAGCGCGCGUAGGCGGGUACACAAGUUGGGGGUGAAAUCCCGGAGCUCAACUCCGGAACUGCCUUCAAAACUGUGUACCUAGAGUUCGAGAGAGGUGAGUGGAAUUCCUAGUGUAGAGGUGAAAUUCGUAGAUAUUAGGAAGAACACCAGUGGCGAAGGCGGCUCACUGGCUCGAUACUGACGCUGAGGUGCGAAAGCGUGGGGAGCGAACAGGGAUUAGAUACCCUGGUAGUCCACGCCGUAAACGAUGAGUGCUAGUUGUCAGGCAGCAUGCUGUUUGGUGACGCAGCUAACGCAUUAAGCACUCCGCCUGGGGAGUACGGUCGCAAGAUUA
rnacentral:rRNA from 1 species